rnacentral:misc_RNA from 1 species
UAGACAAGACCUUGUCAAGAUGGUUUCAAUGCAGGAUUUGGAAACAAAACUUGAUAAGCUUCUGUAACGAGCUUCCGUUAUAGAAACUUACAUUAAGUGGUUAUCACAAUUCAUAAAACUUCCAAUAAGCUCCCAAAAUAGUUAUUUCUUCAACUUCGACUUCUGUGAUACUAGAACUUAUCGUGGUGGAGGUUCUGGGAACUUUGUGGCAUGGAGGAAGGUUUUAACCCAGUUCAAUUCAUAUACAUCGAUCCUACGGUGAUUAUAGAUUAUACAUGUAAAGCUUUAUUGAAGGAACAACUUAAAGUUUUGGCUUCUGGAUUUAUCGUCAUCUGAAGAAUCAUCAAUGCAUCACUCUUGUUUCUGUGGUAACAUUCAGUUUACGAUGGUAGUUAGUAAGUAAAUUGAAAGGCUUUGCGCCAUUGGUGUCAGAUUUUGGGUUUUCAAAUUUCUUGUUGUACCCUAGAUUUUACCGCUGCUUGAUUAGUUUUACUACUCCCAUCCUGUUCCAUUUUACUUUGAUUGUCAUAGUUGACUUGACACAACUUAAUUCAAAAAUGAAAGCAUUGA